rnacentral:lncRNA from 10 species
CUGUUGCAAGCUUUGGUUCUUUGGAAUAUAAGACGUUUGAAACUAUUGCUUUGCUGAAAACAUCUGACUGCCAGGCUAGGAUGUGACACUUAAGGGACUUACCAAUUUGGGAUUCUUCCAGGAGCUGAAAACUGAUUGCAAAUAUGAAACAGAUUUCACUACAGGACUUGAACCCUACAUUAAAAAACAACAAGCUCCCCAAAAUAAUUGAAAAAGAUCUUCACCAAAGAGUAGCUGCAAUGUGAAUGGCAGGAUAUGAAGCAAGUAAGAGAUGGUGAAAAGAUUAUCUUAAGCUUGGAAUUAAGUGAUGAAAGGGACCUUCGAAAUUAUCAACUCUAAAUACUUCUUUACAGGAAAAUUGAAAGCAGUUAAGAACCUGCCCCCUACCGUGGAGUUCUUGGUGCCGUGAGUUGGAGUUCUUGGUGCCUGGGUGCGUCCCCAAGGCCACUGGUCUUCAGAUCUUUCUUACUUGAGAAGAACGCCUCCGCCUCCUGGCUCUCCCACCAGUGGUAUUGCCACCACCACACACCAGCAUAAAGCACAGAUUGCUGCCCAGCUCCUUGGAGAGGGGCCAGUGCAUUUGUCAGGAAUUGAAAAGUUUUGGAGCCAGUUCGAGGACUUUCUCCUGCACAAAGUGUUGGCUGGAAGCAUGAAGCAAUAACACAUGGUUUGCCAAAGAAUCUGCAUUGAAUAAUACUGGUGGUGACCACAAGAACAUGCCUCUCUGACUGCAAGGAACAAGAGUGACCCAGGGUUUCAGCUGCUGCCUUGGAAAUUCAUCACAGUGCAAGUCUAUGCUUCCCACGGGCUGCUCCCAGCCUGUGAAUAAGCCUGGCAUCUUUGUUGAGGCAGGCCUAUUUCUGGAGAUGCAGGAUCCUCCGAUGGGCGAAUUUGGCUCUAGGACUGCUUGAUGGCCUUGACAGACUUUCCUUAGAAAUGCAUGGCAAUUUAGGGUUCCUCCACCCUUCCCUCUUUCUCUCCUUCACCUAGGGUCGGACUUGCAUCAUGGCCUGAAAGCUCCACCAGCCUCUCCUGCCCUCCUCCUCAUUUUCUUUCACAGGCAUAUCCUCUAAUAAAUUUCUUGCACAUUGAAUCUCAUCUUGGCAUCUACUUAUUGGAGGAUCUGAAAAUUCACAUUUUUAACACAAUAAUAAAAUUCACAUUUUUUCAUCAUCCACUAUAUGCCAAGUAAUGUGUUACUGUGUAGUCUCAUUAAAUCCUCUCAAAUCCAAGAGAUAAGAAUUACAUUUAUUUUACAAGAAGAAAAGCAGUCACUCUGAGAGGUAAAAUAAUGUAUAUGGCAGUAGAUUGCAGAGUUAGCAUUUGAAGAAUGUUCGGUUGUACUCCAAAGCCCACCACAAAACUCCACCACUAAACCACAGCACCUUUGGAGCAAUUGGAAUGACGAUUCUGUUCAAAUCAUAUUAAUACCAAUCACUGUAUUUGACUUUUUCGUUUAGAUGUGGCUGUGAUUGAAAAAUCAUGGUCUUUGUAUAUAGUCACCUGUUCUAUCUGCCUUUGUUUUGGGGGACUGCCACCUGAAAUUCCUGACUUUUACCCUGGGAGGGGCUUGUGCAGAGGAUCUGAGUUACUCAUCUGAACGGACUGCCUAAAGACACCUCAGUUUGUGUUGUCUGUGCAUUCACUCAGCCUCCAUAGCUAAACUAAGAUGCUGGGAAUGAGAGACUGUUCAAGGAGUAGAAGCCUUGCUUCUAGCUUCUAUAUUCC